UACGAAGGGGGCGAGCGUUGUUCGGAAUUACUGGGCGUAAAGGGCGCGCAGGCGGCUCUUCAAGUCAGGCGUGAAAGCCCCGGGCUUAACCUGGGAAUUGCGCUUGGGACUGGAGGGCUUGAGUACGGGAGAGGAGAGUGGAAUUCCCAGUGUAGAGGUGAAAUUCGUAGAUAUUGGGAAGAACACCGGUGGCGAAGGCGGCUCUCUGGACCGUAACUGACGCUGAGGCGCGAAAGCGUGGGGAGCAAAC
rnacentral:rRNA from 1 species